GACGAACGCUGGCGGCGUGCUUAACACAUGCAAGUCGAACGAUGAACCACUUCGGUGGGGAUUAGUGGCGAACGGGUGAGUAACACGUGGGCAAUCUGCCCUUCACUCUGGGACAAGCCCUGGAAACGGGGUCUAAUACCGGAUACCACUCUCGCGGGCAUCUGCGAGGGUUGAAAGCUCCGGCGGUGAAGGAUGAGCCCGCGGCCUAUCAGCUUGUUGGUGAGGUAAUGGCUCACCAAGGCGACGACGGGUAGCCGGCCUGAGAGGGCGACCGGCCACACUGGGACUGAGACACGGCCCAGACUCCUACGGGAGGCAGCAGUGGGGAAUAUUGCACAAUGGGCGAAAGCCUGAUGCAGCGACG
rnacentral:rRNA from 1 species